CGAACGCUGGCGGCGUGCUUAACACAUGCAAGUCGAACGGAAAGGCCCUGCUUUUGUGGGGUGCUCGAGUGGCGAACGGGUGAGUAACACGUGAGUAACCUGCCCUUGACUUUGGGAUAACUUCAGGAAACUGGGGCUAAUACCGGAUAGGAGCUCCUGCUGCAUGGUGGGGGUUGGAAAGUUUCGGCGGUUGGGGAUGGACUCGCGGCUUAUCAGCUUGUUGGUGGGGUAGUGGCUUACCAAGGCUUUGGCGGGUAGCCGGCCUGAGAGGGUGACCGGCCACAUUGGGACUGAGAUACGGCCCAGACUCCUACGGGAGGCAGCAGUGGGGAAUAUUGCACAAUGGGCGGAAGCCUGAUGCAGCAACGCCGCGUGCGGGAUGACGGCCUUCGGGUUGUAAACCGCUUUCGCCUGUGACGAAGCGUGAGUGACGGUAAUGGGUAAAGAAGCACCGGCUAACUACGUG
rnacentral:rRNA from 1 species